rnacentral:rRNA from 1 species
UGGGGAAUAUUGCACAAUGGGCGCAAGCCUGAUGCAGCAACGCCGCGUGAACGAUGAAGGUUUUCGGAUCGUAAAACUCUGUUGUAAGAGAAGAACAAAUUGUAGAGUAACUGCUACAGUCUUGACGGUAUCUUACCAGAAAGCCACGGCUAACUACGUGCCAGCAGCCGCGGUAAUACGUAGGUGGCAAGCGUUGUCCGGAUUUAUUGGGCGUAAAGGGGGCGCAGGCUGCUUCUUAAGUCUGAUGUGAAAGCCCACGGCUUAACCGUGGAAGUGCAUUGGAAACUGGGAAGCUUGAGUACAGAAGAGGAAAGUGGAACUCCAUGUGUAGCGGUGGAAUGCGUAGAUAUAUGGAAGAACACCAGUGGCGAAAGCGACUUUCUGGUCUGUCACUGACGCUGAGGCCCGAAAGCGUGGGUAGCAAACAGG